rnacentral:rRNA from 1 species
UACAGAGGGGGCAAGCGUUGUUCGGAAUUACUGGGCGUAAAGGGCGCGUAGGCGGCCUUCUAAGUCGAACGUGAAAUCCCCGGGCUCAACCCGGGAACUGCGUCCGAUACUGGAAGGCUUGAAUCCGGGAGAGGGAUGCGGAGGUCGAUGGAAUUGCCGGUGUAGUGGUGAAAUGCGUAGAGAUCGGCAGGAACACCCAGGGGGAAACCAGUCGACUGGGCAUCAGCUGACGCUGAGGUGCGAGAGCGUGGGGAGCGAACCGG